AAUUGUGGUUUAGUACGAGACUUCCAAACAACAAGAAGAACCCAAAAGAGAAAGGUGUUAUGACUAAAAAAUUUAUGAAAUGACUUGUUGUGAUGAUGAUGAUGGUGGUGGUGGUGGUGGUGUUGGCGAUCCUUGUUCAAGUUUGGGUGAAAGCAGACAACUCUUCAUUUUCCUAUGUCUCUCCAAAUCAUCCCCCCUUUCUCACUCCUUCUCCACAUUCCCUGCCAAUUAUCUCCCUCUCUCCAUAUGAGAUGGAUGCUAAACCUCAAAAGAUCAAUCAUUCACGAAGAAAAAAUACUCACAAGGAAACAAAAAUUCCUGGUUCAGAAAUAACAAAAGAAGAAAGAAAAUGUUUGGAUUAUUGCGCAAAAAUAAUAAAAGUGUUCUCUGACCAGAUCAGCAAUUUUGGCAUCUCCGCUAUGCAUUCGUCCAUCUACCUUCGUGUUGUGUCGUUCAUAUCCUCCCCGGUCGCUGUUGUUGUUUGUUGGUUGUAUUUUUGCUUUGAAUAAGAGUUUUCUUCUCUUAAAUCUGCUCUCAUAGGUGAUCUAUGGGAUGAAGGUUAGUCAGGUGUGAUGGGUUAUCUCUCAUAGUCUAGACAGUUCGGUAUGAGGGGUUAUCUCUCACGGCUGAUUUUAAUAAAUUUUCAGGAUAUUUGGCUACCCUUAUCUUAGAUCUAGUCUACUCGGAGCAGAUCUGCUCUUUAACUAUUUUUGUACAUGGGUUAGCGGAAGAUGAAAGUCAUAGAUAACACUUUAUUGUAAGAAUUUUGUUUGUAUCUAUGACUAUGUAACCUUAUAACA